GGAUACAAGGAUGAUCUCUCAACCCACUGAUCACCUUUAUGUAUACACUGGCUGGCUAGGUGGAUGCUCCCUCUCUCUGUCUCUCUCACUGCUCCUUGUGUGCCCCUUGCAAAGCUGUGUGCUUGCCCAGGGGAAGAAGACACCCUGAGGGAACUGUGGGAACUAAGGAGGGCUGGUCCUCUGUCAAGAGCAUACGAGUAGCUGCCUCUCCUGCUGAAACAGUGGUUCUCAACCUUCCUAAUGUUUUGACCCUUUAAUAGGUCCCUCGUGUUGUGAGCCCCAACCAUAU
rnacentral:snRNA from 1 species